rnacentral:rRNA from 1 species
CCUACGGGAGGCAGCAGUGGGGAAUUUUGGACAAUGGGCGCAAGCCUGAUCCAGCAAUGCCGCGUGAGUGAAGAAGGCCUUCGGGUUGUAAAGCUCUUUUGUCAGGGAAGAAACGGUGGAGGUUAAUACCUUCUGCUAAUGACGGUACCUGAAGAAUAAGCACCGGCUAACUACGUGCCAGCAGCCGCGGUAAUACGUAGGGUGCAAGCGUUAAUCGGAAUUACUGGGCGUAAAGCGUGCGCAGGCGGUUGUGCAAGACAGAUGUGAAAUCCCCGGGCUCAACCUGGGAAUUGCAUUUGUGACUGUACGGCUAGAGUGUGUCAGAGGGGGGUAGAAUUCCACGUGUAGCAGUGAAAUGCGUAGAGAUGUGGAGGAAUACCGAUGGCGAAGGCAGCCCCCUGGGAUAACACUGACGCUCAUGCACGAAAGCGUGGGGAGCAAACAGGAUUAGAUACCCUGGUAGUCCACGCCCUAAACGAUGUCUACUAGUUGUCGGGUCUUUAUUGACUUGGUAACGCAGCUAACGCGUGAAGUAGACCGCCUGGGGANACGGUGCAAGNUUAAAACGUUAAGGAAUUGACGGCUGAGACGNGACGAGACGACGACGAGGGAGGAGG